rnacentral:rRNA from 1 species
UACCAGCACCCCGAGUGGUCGGGACGUUUUAUUGGGCCUAAAGCAUCCGUAGCCGGUCCUGCAAGUCUUCCGUUAAAUCCAGCUGCUCAACAGAUGGGCUGCGGAGAUACUACAGGGCUAGGAGGCGGGAGAGGCAAGCGGUACUUUAUGGGUAGGGGUAAAAUCCGCUGAUCCAUAGAAGACCACCAGUGGCGAAGGCGGCUUGCCAGAACGCGCUCGACGGUGAGGAUGAAGCUGGGGAGCAAACCGG